rnacentral:rRNA from 1 species
UUGAGUUUGAUCAUGGCUCAGAUUGAACGCUGGCGGCAGGCCUAACACCUGCAAGUCGAGCGGAUGAAGAGAGCUUGCUCUCUGAUUCACCGGCGGACGGGUGAGUAAUGCCUAGGAAUCUGCCUGGUAGUGGGGGACAACGUUUCGAAAGGAACGCUAAUACCGCAUACGUCCUACGGGAGAAAGCAGGGGACCUUCGGGCCUUGCGCUAUCAGAUGAGCCUAGGUCGGAUUAGCUAGUUGGUGAGGUAAUGGCUCACCAAGGCGACGAUCCGUAACUGGUCUGAGAGGAUGAUCAGUCACACUGGAACUGAGACACGGUCCAGACUCCUACGGGAGGCAGCAGUGGGGAAUAUUGGACAAUGGGCGAAAGCCUGAUCCAGCCAUGCCGUUUUUUUGAAGAAGGUCUUCGGAUUGUAAAGCACUUUAAGUUGGGAGGAAGGGUUGUAGAUUAAUACUCUGCAAUUUUGACGUUACCGACAGAAUAAGCACCGGCUAACUCUGUGCCAGCAGCCGCGGUAA